UGGGGAAUUUUGCACAAUGGGGGAAACCCUGAUGCAGCGACGCCGCGUGAUUUAGAAGGCCUUCGGGUUGUAAAAAUCUUUUCUAUGGGAAGAAAAUGACAGUACCAUAGGAAUAAGGACCGGCUAAUUACGUGCCAGCAGCCGCGGUAAUACGUAAUGUCCGAGCGUUGUCCGGAAUCAUUGGGCGUAAAGGGUACGUAGGCGGGUAAGCAAGUUAGAAGUGAAAUCCUGUAGCUCAACUACAGUAAGCUUUUAAAACUGCUCAUCUUGAGAUAUGGAAGGGAAAGUGGAAUUCCUAGUGUAGCGGUGAAAUGCGCAGAUAUUAGGAGGAAUACCGGUGGCGAAGGCGACUUUCUGGCCAUAAUCUGACGCUGAGGUACGAAAGCGUGGGUAGCAAACAGG
rnacentral:rRNA from 1 species